rnacentral:rRNA from 1 species
AGUGAACGCUGGCGGCAGGCCUAAUACAUGCAAGUCGAACGGCAGCACAGGAGAGCUUGCUCUCUGGGUGGCGAGUGGCGGACGGGUGAGGAAUACGUGGGAAUCUGCCCAGUCGUGGGGGAUAACGUAGGGAAACUUACGCUAAUACCGCAUGCGCCCUUCGGGGGAAAGCCGGGGACCUUCGGGCCUGGCGCGAUUGGAUGAGCCCACGUCGGAUUAGCUAGUUGGGGGGGUAAUGGCCCACCAAGGCGACGAUCCGUAGCUGGUCUGAGAGGAUGAUCAGCCACACUGGAACUGAGACACGGUCCAGACUCCUACGGGAGGCGGCAGUAGGGAAUAUUGGACAAUGGGCGCAAGCCUGAUCCAGCCAUGCCGCGUGAGUGAAGAAGGCCCUCGGGUUGUAAAGCUCUUUUGUCCGGAAAGAAAAGCACUGGGUUAAUACCCUGGUGUUCUGACGGUACCGGAAGAAUAAGCACCGGCUAACUUCGUGCCAGCAGCCGCGGUAAAAC